GUCAAUGGGUUUUCCUGGAUGGUGGAUGUAAUUGUAUUACUGUUAUAUUCCAUUUUGAAGUGAAUUUUAAUUUUGAAUAGGAAUACUAGAGAUGGGUCUGAGUGCCUUGCCACAACCCCUAUUGGAGCAUCAUUGUAUUUCAAAUCGAUUUAAUGAUGCCCAUUAUAUCAAUAGGCUAAAUAAAGCAAUAAUGUAUGCGCAAUAUUGGUUUAUUAACCAUUUUAAUUUAGUAAUUUAAAGUAUAUUUCAAUUUCAAUAAAAUGGUUUUGUAUGAUGAAGGGCCAUGUGUUUUAUUUUAACAAAACAUUAUAGAUACAAAAAUAAAACAGGAUAUUUUGAACAAGCAUUGCAGAUUGAGAGCUCUCUUGAUUCAACGCAUGAUCUGCCACAAAUAGCUGAUAUUGAGACAUUAUAUGGAUAAUCUGCCACAAAUAGCUGAUGUAGAGACAUGUGUUUCAUUUUCAUUUGAUCCAUCCCAGUUUUAUUUGCAUCUAAAAUCUUGUACGACAAAUCUCAGUGGCUGUUGAAAUAUGAGCAACUAUAGGAUGAGCAGGAAGCAGAGAGUUUUUUUUUUUGAAGCACAAGCUUAGUGCUUUAGAUUGCAUAUAAGUACGUAUAUAUAGUAAAAUGACCAACUGCUGCUGUCCAGCAACUUGCAAACCGACCUACACUAUUGCUGCAGUGCCUUUGCCAAAUAACUUGCAAAAAUCAACUUGACUACUACUAUUUGGCUAUUUGCUGUCAAAGACAGCUGCUAGACUUACUGACCAAGGGAAAAAGGGAAACUGACUUAUACUAACGAGACUAAGACUAAUACUAGUUAAAUAAGCUAAGAACACAUGGAUCACUACUAACAAUGGCUUCCAAUUGAUGUGAUGAUAGUAAGCUGUUUACUCUGAUGAGCGGACACACUCCAUUCAUUGCAUCAUAUGGUAAUUUUAAGUUUACAUAGUUCCCCUUUGUCAGACUAUACUGUUUAUUGACUCUUUCAGCCUUCUCUGUAAUCGAAUUGGUUUGUUUAGCUUCUAUUUUCCUAAGCUCCACGUUCUCUGGUAUUAGGACUGCAAAUGAAUCCAUAGACCAUAGGCCAUCUCUCCUUUGGCAGCUUUGCUGUUUUUCCUUCCUGUAUCUUGCAUCUUGCUCUUCAGUUUCUUCUAAUCGUUGAUAGCGGAAUUUGAUCUUUAUAUUCAUCAACCUUCAUGUUUUCAAAUUCGUCAAAGUCUGUUGACCUAUCACAUUUCUCUUUUAUAUACGCUGACACCUGACAGUACGGUUUUAAAGCAUCGCCAAGGUGUCCAGGUGCUAAAAAAUCCUAGGUGUCCCUGUCGCCUUUCUAAAAAGAGCAAUAGAGGGGAAGGAAGGGGAAAGAAUUGAAUGGAAAUCAAUCAACAAGGCCCUGCAGCUGCUGCUGGUGCAUCCCUGCUAGCUCCAGUGCAUGUAGCCAGUGCAGUACUCACUCCAGCCAGCUGCAGAGCAGUCAGUCUGAAAGGGUGCAACUCAGUAAGGAGCAGAGAAGAGGUACCAGGAGGUCUGGAGGAGCUGUGGGCUGCCGGGGAGUGAGAAGACAGGGAGAUGGGGAAGUGAGUAGUGGCACUGAGAAUGGACUAGCGGAGGUGCUAAACAAAUCGGAAGGAGAUUGGCAGAACCUUAUCUGCAAGCCAGCGGAGGUGCUAAACAAAUCGGAAGGAGAUUGGCAGAACCUUAUCUGCAAGCCAGGGGAAGGUUAUAUCGGCUGCCUGGUGGGCUGGGCCAUCCCUUACGUCUCCUUCCCAAUUUUUUUUCUUUUUCUUUCUCAUCCAUGCUGCUGUCUUGCUUCUUCUGAGAUUGUAUCCUCGUUGCUUAGUCAAUUAGAAGGUGGUCCAACACCAUGUCUCACCUUACCGCCUUGAGAACUUAGGCUGUUUGCACUCUUCAUCCUCUAUUUCCUUCCUCUAAAAGAAAUAUUCUGUCCUGGUCAUCAAGAUUCUCUCCUCUAUACCACUUUCCUCCACACCCAUGCAUUGUCUAUAUCUCUAUUCUAUACCAACUACUCGCUAUGGGACCCACACAUCAGACUUUUUUUUUACUCCCCGCGCCCUCCCUUCUCGUUCUCUCCCUCUCCUCCCUCCCCAAUUCCCAUGCUCUCUCCCUCUCCGGCGCGACCUCUCUCCCUCUCCCUCUCUCUCCGGGCAGAUUCUUCGCCGGCCGCGGCAGUGAGGCGGUGCUGGUCAACGAGGGCGGCUGCCACGGCGGUGAGGUGGCGUUGGUCCACGAGGGCGGUCGUCGUGCCAUGGCCGGCGUGGUGGUGCCCUCCGUGUCGUCGGGCACGAGACCGCCGUGGCACGAGCCGGCGGCGGUGGGGGACGAGCUGCCCGGCGGUGGCGGGGAAGUUGCCACCAUGGCGGGCCUCCUGGAGCUCCGUCGCGCGCCAUGGCGGGCCUCCUCGAGCUUCGCCGGAUCUGGCGGCCAUGGCGGUUCCAGCCACGCCGCGCGCUUCCGGCCGGCUGUGGUCUGCCGCUGCCUUUGCUCUACUCCUUUCCCUCUCCACGCGUGCAGCGAGGUGGUUGCCACGCUGGCCGAUGGCUUUCAUUCUGGAAGCCUGUUAUUCCUAGCGAAAGCGAGCUUGUCCGCUUGGGUAGCGGACGCUUCCCAGGAUGCCGCUGCAGGAGAUUUUCUGCUAUAUGGCUCCUGCAAGAUGCUGUAUAGGAUGCCAGUGCGAGCAGACUUAGGCUGACAGUUCUUCCCUAACUUCCUGAAUACUUAAAGCACAUCUUAGCACUUCUGGUCCCACUAGAUGUUACUUGGCUCGGAAAGAUCCAUUUGUGGCUUUGACUUCGUUCUUAUCCUUAGGUUCAGAUACUAAUUGUAUUUCUAAUUUUCUAUCCAGGGUCUUUAGUUUUGUUUGACAUUUCAGCAUUGUCAUUGUCAAUAUCCCCAGUAUUCGCUUCAAGACCUCCACAUGUAGCCAUCCUAGAUGCACAUUGAGAAUGAUAGGAGCAAUUUUAAUUUAUAUGUUUCUACUAGGAGACAAGGUCAGGUCGGUGGGAUUUAGCUUUCUUGACCACUAAAACAAAUACCAUGGACAACAAGAAAAAGAAGGAACACACAUGGUGUGCCUUAAACACACAGCAAGGAGUCAAUAUGGAUUAAAGGAUGAAAAGGAGGUUGCUACUUCGAUAGUGAUGCGGCGCAGAUCUGCUUCAGAUGUAGAUCGCCAUGGGAUUGGGAGCCGGGAGGUAGGUUGACUGGUCCAGGCCUUCUCCACCUUUUCACAUAAGAAAUCGAAAGCAAAUCCUAGGUGUAAGAUGAAAUUGCUCCCUGCGGACCAUAUUUUCUCUACCCCAUUCUGCCUUACUGUGAUAUCAGGUUGAUUGAAACCUGCUGCCGUUUGCUCUCCUCCCCGCGUUCCACGAAUAAAGGUGGACGCGUGUCGUUCAACCUGAGAUUUGGCUAUUUUUCAAAUAAGCCCUUCUACUUUCUACAAAUUAGAACUAAGCCCAACUCAUCAGGAACGAAUAGUAUCCACGUUUCUAUAUUUUCCACGUAGGCCCUAAAACUAAUAUUUAUUUUGAUAUGUAGGACCUCAACCCUGUCCCUCUCCUGUGAGGCAAUUUUACAUUUACCCCCUCCCGCUCCCGCAGCCUCGAAUACUCGCUCUCCUUCCUCGCUCUCCUUCCUCGCUCCCCUCUGCUCUAUCCCUCCCUUUCUCGCUCCUUGCUGCCGCCCUCUCUCCGACUCUCCCUUUCUGCUCUCUGUCCGCCUCGCCUUCUCCAUCUCUGCCUAUCUCCAUCGUACCUACUCGCCGCCGCCGCUCGCUCCUGCAGUAUCCGGAUCCGGCGUGGGGCGCGCGUGGCUUGGAGUGAGGAGGCACGGGCCGGCCUAGGCACACAGUGGCCUCUCCCUCCCUCUCUGCUCUCUACAUCCCCAUUGUCGCCUCCCUUCCCCUUCUGUCUCUCCGCCUGCCUUCGUCGUGCAGAGGGAGCAGGAGGCGGGCGGAACUUUGCAGCACACAUGGAGGCGGCUUGCAGUGUGGGUGGACGUGGGCUGGAGGUGGCCAGCUAGCCGGUGCAGAGGUUGCCGGGAGCACGCACACAUGGAGGCGGGCGGGCACUGGCCAUCCUGGAGGCGGUGGGCAUGGAGAUGGCCGGGAGCUUGUGACGCCUGCGGAGGCAUGGCCACCAGCUUCAAUGACGCCGCCAUCACCAUCGCGGGCCCCGCCGCCACGCAGCUAGCCACCAUCUUUGUCCCCACAUUCAGGCCGUCGCCGCAUGUAACGAGCGCGCUUUUGGAGCAGCAACAGCAACAGCCACCGGUGGUGGAGGUGGACUCGUUGCUGGUGGUCCAGGGCAAGAUCACCGUGCUCGAGGUCUUCACCCACCACGUCUCGCCCGCCAAUCUCGCCCGCUGACUGCUCGUCUUCCGGUGCUGACAGUACUGCUCGGCUUGCCGGCCAAGAUCUGAUAAUCGCAUCAGCUUGGUUCAUUGGUACUUGAUAGUACUCUCAGCCUUAGUAUCGAAUUAGCUUCUUUGUGUUCGGUUCAGUCAGUGAAAUUGUAAGAUAAGCUCGGCCGAUUGGUUAUUACUGAUAGAUUGUUAUGUGCUCAGAGUCAAGACCAAACAAAGAGUUUGUUCUUGAGAUGGAUGUUCCGAUUAGACAAUUCACAAUUGGUCCCUUGUGUCAAGCAAACAAGAUCAGGCAACUACUGUUUUUGGACACCUGAAUGAUGGAUAGUGCACCCACGAUGUAUUUGUUACCAUAUGCUGUGUUUUUCUGUUGAAUUUAUCCUAUACCAUUCA